rnacentral:piRNA from 1 species
UCUCUCUGAUGCUCCAGAGCAAAGUCUGAGA